CCCUUAGAUGUUCUGGGCGGCCCGCGCACUACAAUGGCGUGUGCAGCGAGUGCCGAAGUAGAGUUUUCCGAGGUAUUCUUGCAAUGCUCGUUUUGAUGGGGAUAGACCCUUGCAACUGUUGGUUUUGAACGAGGAAUUCCUUGUAAGCAUGGUUUAUCAUCCGACGCUGAAUGCGUCCCUGCCCUUUGUACACACCGCCCGUCGCUCCUACCGAUGAGUCGUCCGGUGAGGUUCGUAGACCUCGUGAUCGCGGAUCACUGGGGGAAGCAAAAUGAACCUCGCGGUUUAGAGGAAGGAGAAGUCGUAACA
rnacentral:rRNA from 1 species